UUCUGUUACAUUGUAGCAAAAUGGCGACUGUCAUUCACAACCCCCUGAAAGCACUCGGGGACCAGUUCUACAAAGAAGCCAUCGAGCACUGUCGCAGCUACAACUCCCGGCUGUGUGCCGAGCGAAGCGUCCGCCUCCCCUUCCUGGAUUCACAGACUGGGGUAGCUCAGAAUAACUGCUACAUCUGGAUGGAGAAGAGGCACAGGGGACCAGGCCUGGCCCCAGGUCAGCUCUACACGUACCCAGCACGUUGCUGGCGCAAAAAGAGGCGUUUGCAUCCCCCUGAGGAUUCCAGGCUGAAGCUGCUGGAAAUUAAACCUGAAGUUGAUCUGCCUCUGAAAAAAGAUGGGUUUACAUCUGAAAGUACAACUCUGGAAGCCUUGCUGCGUGGAGAGGGAAUAGAGAAAAAAGCAGACACUAAAGAGGAAGACACUAUACAAGAAAUCCAGAGGGUUUUAGAAAAUGAUGAAAAUGCAGAUGAAGUGAAUGAGGAAGAGGACUUGGAAGAAGAUAUUCCAAAGCGAAAGAACAGGCCUAGAGGACGGCCAAAGACCCCCACCUGGAAAAAAAUUUUCCAGAAAAAUGCUCGGGGAUCUGGAGGCGGCAGGAGACGGAAUGAUGCUGCCUCCCAGGAUGAUCAUGACAAACCCUAUGUUUGUGACAAUAGUUACAAACAAAAGCAUAACUCAAAAAUCUCCGACAAAGUCUGUGGCAAGCGUUACAAGAACAGGCCUGGGCUGAGCUACCACUACGCUCACACCCACCUCGCCAGCGAAGAGGGUGAUGAAGCCCGCGAGCAGGAGACCCGCUCUUCCCCUGUCCACAGAAAUGAAAACCACAAACCCCAGAAAGGACCAGACGGGGUCAUCAUUCCCAAUAACUACUGUGACUUCUGCCUCGGAGGCUCCAAUAUGAACAAAAAAAGUGGUCGGCCUGAGGAACUUGUAUCCUGCUCAGACUGUGGGCGCUCUGCUCAUUUGGGAAGAGAAGGCAGGAGGGACGAAGCAGCGCCAGCACGCACUACGGAGGACUUGUUCGGUUCCACGUCAGAAAGCGACACCUCGACCUUUCAUGGCUUUGACGAGGACGAUGCAGAAGAGCCUCUCUCGGGCCGAGGAGGUGGCUGUGGUGGCAGCUCUCCCUCUGCAGACAAAAAGGGCGGCUGCUAAAAUAACUAAAAAGACACACAAACUCUGAGUGAUUUGCUGUCCUUUUUACUACUAGGAUUAUUAUUACCUUUUUCUUUUUUUAAUUUUAGGUCCUUGGGUUUUUGGGGGUUUUUUGUUGUUAUUUUUGUUGUUUUUCCUGUGGGGUGUACACUGAAAGCACAAGCGUUUAAAGCUUUUGACAACUACUUUGAAGAGACAGAAGGUUUUGAUUUUCCUGUUAUUUUUUUCAUUUUAAUUUGUUUUCCUCCCACCUCCCCCCCUUCUCUUUCUCUCUGGAAACAUAAAAGGUGGAUUUAAUAUUUUUUUUAAUAGUGAGCAGAGUUGAUUUUCUUGUCUUUUAAUAUAUAUAUCGGCAAACCACGAAAAAUACAGAUGGGUUGGAGAGCAGAAAGCAAACGCAAAUAGGUUUUUUUAAUUAUUAUUAUUUAUAUAUUCUAUAUAUUAUUAGAAAAACUACUUUUUAAAUAAAAAUACAAAAAAACAAAAAGCAAUGGAUGUCUACUUGAUAAUAGAACUGUUUCUAGAAAACCACUGUGGGCGGACUCUAUUGGAGGACAAGGAAACCCUUGAUGUGAUGGCUUCUGCGUUUUGAGAUUUUGCACUUACUGUAGCAUGUGGAGUUUGGCUCUUCUUGUACACCUGCUACGCUUGUCCUUAUCAGCCUGAAAAUACAAGCAGCACCAUUGAAGACCAUGACCUUGGGGAACACGUUUCCAUCCCUCCUUUGGACACCUUUACACUCAAUAGAUCUCUUCUUCCCUGCACCCCUUCAUGUCUUCCUCACUCCGUUCUACUUUUUUUUUCUUUUCCUUCACCUUUCACUUCAUGGACAGCAAUUUCCAAGCGUAGGGAUGGAAUAUGAAUGGCAAGUUGUAGACAUCAAAGAGAAAACAGACGGAGGAGCAGAACCAUGGAAGAAAUUAUAUGGAAAAAUACCUCACCUGUACUUUUCUUUCUAUUUUUAAAUUUUAAUUCACAGCAUUUUUUCCUGUGUCGCCCAGUUUUUUCUCUCUGUAGUGUCUUGUGAGACACUUUGUUUGCUUUUCAAUAGCUUCUCUAUAAACCAAAGCAAUAGUCAUUAAAGUUCCAAGGGCAAUGGAGAAGAGAGUGACUCCCUUCCCAGCGACUUUCCCAGAAAGGAGGAAACACGCAGCAGGAUUUGAAAGUCAGCCCUGCCCUCAUGGACUCCAGCAUCCUUCAAGCAAGACAUUUCAGAAGGCGGCCAAGAGAAGCCAGGAUGCUUUGAUACUUCUCCUCUCCUUGCCCUGACCCUUCCAUACCCGUGUUUCAUCUGGCACAGGAGCCUGGACUGUGGGAAGUCGGCUGCCAACUGUUGAGAGAAGUUCUGGGGAUGCCCUAAGCUGGUGCAAUACAAAGAAGUUUUUUAAAGUCUUGAUUUCACUUUCUUUUAAGCGUGUGUAUAAACCCAGGUCAAACUGGAAUUGAUCUACAGUAGAACUGACUGAAAAACAAACAAACUGAAAAAAGACUUAACUAUUUUAUUUAUUUCGAUAUUUAAGAGAGAAAAGAAGUGCUGAAGUUGCACAGUAUUUUUGUUUGAAAUACAUUUUACUUCAAAUUUUAAAUGCAAUUUUGUGAAGACAUGAAAUUUUAAAAAAGCACUUAAUGUAAAAUAAAGACUGAAUAUUUACUUUAAGGAAAAAACUUUUUUUAAAUAAUGAAAAUAAAGAUCAACUCUGCUCUCUCUCUUACUUUAAAGAAGCCAUUCAUACAUGUGCUGGGUAUCUUUGUUUUUUGCAAAUUGGAUGUGGUAAGUGAAGAUUGUUCUGGUUUACUUUCUCCUUAAUAAUAUUAUCCUGUUAGAUGCUUAGAACUUACUUUGCUGUACUGUGUUAGCCACAAAUCUGAACAAAACCUGUUGAAAUAGCAAAGACCAGGCUCAGUGAUUGGAUUUUUUUGUUACCAGAUUCUGUGUCUGAUUCAAAGGACUCUCUUCUCCCAGUAGGAUUGAUGUGUCUUUUCUGCAGAGUGAAAGGUUUGCUCUUGAGCAACUCUGUGAAAUACUUCUGCUUCUGAAAGAGGGGUUUAAAAAGGGAAAACAACUCUGUUAAUUUUAGUAUUUUUUUUUGCUUUGGUAAUUCCACAGGUGAUUGUGAGUUGGUUGUAAGGGAAUUACAUAAAUGUUCAAGUGCUCUUGGCACCAAGCUUCCUGUUGGAGUCAUGGAUGAUGCCAUGUGUAGGAACCUUGUGUACUUCAGCCCUUUCUUAAGUGGUAGUGGACUUCGAAAAGCGUGCAGGUGCACCCGCAGAUCAGCAGUAAGCAUCAGGGGUUACUCAGCAGGAGAAGAAUGAUGCGAAUUUCCGCAGCUACAAUCCUAAAUUGCCCUGUGAGGCAGCAGUGAGGGAUGCUCACAUCCCGAAUUCUAAGUUGCUAGUCAUCUUCUCAGUGAAUAAGGUGUUCUGCUCCGUACAAGCAAUGGAGGAUUUUGUCAGCUGCCAGAUCUGCUCAUGGUGGAUAGCACAGGACUCUUUGCUAUCAUGUGGGAUGCACUGUGGUAAGGAUGCAGGAUAGCCUUGUGUCCUGGGAGAAGGGUAUUGGACUUGGCUCUGAGAUUAGUUUCUCCUCUGUUGCAGGGGUGCCAGAUGUACCUAUUCGUUCAGACCCAGGGCAUAGAUAGAAAAAGUGGUUUUGUAACUGUGGCUCAUGUUGGCUUUUGGAGUGAAAAGUGCUAUGUCUACAAAAAACACAUCCUGACUAGGUGAAGCUGCCAGAGAGCCCGAUCCUGCAUCAUGUUUCUUGCACACCUAAAGCUCACCUCAUUGCGAAUUUUCCAUGUGUCAGUAGCAGCAGAUUUUGUGCUCUUCUCGCUUCCCCUUCUCCUUCUCCUUCCCAGAUUAUCCCAUAGGGCCAAUAAUAACUGUGUAAGAUGUCUGCUAGACCUAAGUCCUGUUCCCACUAAGUUAAAUGACAAAAUUUAUGUCCUAGUUGGGCUCAUGAGCAGGAUAGUUUUGUUUUGUUCAUUUUGUUGGUUUCUAAACUUGCAAUGGUGAACUGCCUCUAGGGAAAAAAAGAAAUCAAAUUUUAUUUCAUCAAAAUAUAACAAGACGCACAACUGUAAUGAAGAUUUGCAAACUGUAGGGUCUGUGUUCAGUUUGUGUAAUAUUCCUUCCAAAUAAAAGUUCUGCUUCCAACGUCCCUACUGUAUAUUCCUCUGUAAAUAUUACUUUAUCAAACCAAUUCCACAAGGUCUUUUUUAGUGCAAAUAAUCUUCUUUUAAAAAGACAUUGUUGAAUAACAUACUACUUGUACAUAUACUUUUCUAAGCUCUCCAUUGUUUAUAAUACUCUCUUUGAAGCUUAAAAUAAAACUUCCUCCUCUAUUGA